rnacentral:lncRNA from 1 species
GAUGGAAACCUCUGAAACCAUGAGCCAGGAUAAACCCUCAUCCUUUAAGUUGAUUUCUGGAGGCACUGUAUCACAGAGAUGGAAAGCUGACGCAUACAUACAGUGUCGGGGUUUCUGCACUUGCAGGAUCUGUGCGCAUGCCUGUGGGUCAGGAAGGGCUGGCUUCAUAACUGUCUCUUACACGUCCCUUCUCUCCUGCCUUCGACAUAUUGAAGGCCAACCUAUAAACAGUUCCCCCUUUGGGUCCCCGAUGCUGAGGAGAGACAAGAACAAGAGAUGGUGAAACUGGAGUUUCUGCCCUCAAGAUGCCAGGAGAUGCAAGUCUUCUUUCUUCAAUAUGCAAACUGUGACCAGACUCACUGCAUGGAGGAUUCUGGGUCUGACAGCUCAGCCUGGUAGAGCUCAGCCUGGCAGAGCAGGACAGAGGCAGUGUCUGAACAGACUCACAGAUGGCUCGUCCUUCCUUGCUGUGCG